UGAGGAACAUGACCUUCGGCGGGGGAUAGCCGGCCCAACGGCCGGGUAAUACCGCGUACGACCACAUGGGGACAUCCCUGAGUGGUGAAAGCAGCAAUGCGCCGAUGGAGUGCCUCGCGGCCUAUCAGCUAGUUGGUGAGGUAACGNGCCACCAAGGCGACGAGGUCG
rnacentral:rRNA from 1 species